rnacentral:rRNA from 1 species
AGUGAACGCUGGCGGCGUGCCUAACACAUGCAAGUCGAACGGGCUAGUGCUUCGCACUAGUCUCUUUCUGGGGUUGCUACUCUAAGGCUACCUGCUAAAGUUAUUGCUUUAAAGCAGGGGUUUUAGGGGACCUUCCCCAAAAGGGGCCAGUGCGGAGCACUGGCCAGUGGCGAACGGGUGAGUAACACGUGGGUAAUCUGCCCUCGAGUGGGGAAUAAGCUCCCGAAAGGGGGUCUAAUACCGCAUGACGUUUCAUAACGAUGGUUAUGAAACCAAAGCCCAAAAGGCGCUUGAGGAGGAGCCUGCGUCCUAUCAGCUUGUUGGCAGGGUAAUGGCCUACCAAGGCUAAUGACGGGUAGCCGGCCUGAGAGGGUGUCCGGCCACACUGGAACUGAGACACGGUCCAGACUCCUACGGGAGGCAGCAGUGGGGAAUUUUGCGCAAUGGGGAAAACCCUGACGCAGCGACGCCGCGUGGAGGAUGACGGCCUGGUUGUAACGUACUGUCACGAGAGAAGUACCGACG